UUGCUUUGUCAGCACCUAUACUAACCCUUGACUGAUACAGAAAUGAUUAACAUGACCCCUGUGCAGGGGUAACAUUCAAAUUGAAGAAGGAUUCCAUAUUUUU